AAAUUUCAGAGUCAGAUGGACUUUCCUAGGGUGAGGCCUAUCUAUUGCCAUCCAGAUGUGCUGACCUCUGUAAUUUCCCCAAAUAUGAGAAACUUAGCUGCACAAUUUGUGGUAGUUGAAGGGGCUGCUUUUGUGCUCUUUCCCA
rnacentral:snRNA from 1 species